GCCCGAAUAGCUCAGCCGGUUUGAGCACUUGACUGUUAAUCAGGGGGUCGUUGGUUCGAGUCCAACUUCGGGCGCCA
rnacentral:tRNA from 1 species